UUCGCAAUGCCCGAAAGGGUGAUGAAGCGACGCCGCGUGCGGGAAGAAGGCCUUCGGGUUGUAAACCGCUGUCGGGAGUUAAGAAAUGCAAGGGUGUUAACAGCAUCCUUGCUUGACUAAGGCUCCGGAGGAAGCCACGGCUAACUCUGUGCCAGCAGCCGCGGUAAUACAGAGGCGGCAAGCGUUGUUCGGAAUUAUUGGGCGUAAAGAGCACGUAGGCGGCUGUGUAAGUCGGUUGUGAAAGCCUUCCGCUCAACGGGAGAACGGCAUCCGAUACUGCAUGGCUUGAGUGCGGGAGGGGAGAGUGGAACUUCUGGUGGAGCGGUGAAAUGCGUAGAUAUCAGAAGGAACACCGGCGGCGAAGGCGACUCUCUGGCCCGUAACUGACGCUGAGUGUGCGAAAGCUAGGGGAGCAAACGGGAUUAGAUACCCCGGUAGUCCUAGCCGUAAACGAUGGGCACUAAGUAGAGGGGUUUU
rnacentral:rRNA from 1 species